rnacentral:rRNA from 1 species
AGGGCGCAUGGUGAAUGCCUUGGCAUCAGGAGCCGAUGAAGGACGUGAUAAGCUGCGAUAAGCUUCGGGUAGGCGCACAUAGCCAGAGAUCCGGAGAUUUCCGAAUGGGGAAACCCGCAUGAGAAACCUCAUGCAUCGUAAAGUGAAUACAUAGCUUUAUGAAGGAACACCUAGGGAACUGAAACAUCUAAGUACCUAGAGGAAGAGAAAGAAAAAUCGAUUUUCUUAGUAGCGGCGAGCGAAAAGGAAAGAGCCCAAACCAGAGAUUUAUCUCUGGGGUUGCGGACAGAACAUAACGUGAAAUUAUGAUUAACCGAACACAACUGGAAAGUUGGACCGUAGGAGGUAAUAGUCCUGUAAGUAAAAGUCAUAAUGAUCAGUUCUGCACCAGAGUACCACGAGACACGUGAAACCUUGUGGGAAGCAGGGAGGACCACCUCCCAAGGCUAAAUACUACCUGAUGACCGAUAGUGAAGCAGUACCGUGAGGGAAAGGUGAAAAGAACCCCGGGAGGGGAGUGAAAUAGAACCUGAAACCAUGUGCCUACAACCGAUCAAAGCACCUUAUGUGUGUGAUGAUGUGCUUUUUGUAGAACGAGCCAACGAGUUACGGUAUGUAGCGAGGUUAAGUACUUAAGGUACGGAGCCGAAGGGAAACCGAGUCUUAAUAGGGCGACUAGUUGCAUGCUGUAGACCCGAAACCGGGUGACCUAUCCAUGGCCAGGUUGAAGCGAGGGUAAAACCUCGUGGAGGACCGAACCACGUUGCUGUUGAAAAAGCAUGGGAUGAGCUGUGGAUAGCGGAGAAAUUCCAAUCGAACUCGGAUAUAGCUGGUUCUCCUCGAAAUAGCUUUAGGGCUAGCGUCGUGAAAUGUGAGUACUGGAGGUAGAGCACUGAAUAGGCUAGGGGGCAUAGCGCUUACCGAACCUUAUCAAACUCCGAAUGCCAGAUACUAUCAGCACGGCAGUCAGACUAUGAAAGAUAAGUUCCAUGGUCAAAAGGGAAACAGCCCAGAUCGUCAGCUAAGGUCCCAAAGUGUAAGUUAAGUGGAAAAGGAUGUGGGAUUUCUAAGACAACUAGGAUGUUGGCUUAGAAGCAGCCACUCAUUAAAAGAGUGCGUAAUAGCUCACUAGUCAAGAGAUCCUGCGCCGAAAAUGUCCGGGGCUCAAACUUACCACCGAAGCUACGGGUUCAUACUUUGUAUGAGCGGUAGAGGAGCGUCGUAAUCGGGCUGAAGUCGUACCGUAAGGAGCGGUGGACUGAUUACGAGUGAGAAUGUUGGCAUUAGUAGCGAGAUGUAGGUGAGAAUCCUACAGGCCGAAUAUCUAAGGUUUCCUGAGUAAAGUUUGUCUUCUCAGGGUUAGUCGGGACCUAAGGCGAGGCCGAGAGGCGUAGUCGAUGGACAAUUGGUUGAUAUUCCAAUACCACUAUAAUCGUUAUUAUCGAUGGUGUGACGGAGAAGGAUAGGAUGUGCCAGCUAUUGGAUGCUGGUCUAAGCGUUGAGGGAGUUAGAACAGGCAAAUCCGUUCUAACAAUCCUAGGGCGUGAUGGGGAAGGUUCUACGGAACCGAAGUAUCUGAUUUCAUGCUUCCAAGAAAAGCAUCUAGAAAGAGAAGUAGUGCCCGUACCGCAAACCGACACAGGUAGAUGAGGAGAGAAUCCUAAGGCCGACGGAAGAAUCACAGUUAAGGAACUAGGCAAAUUGACCCCGUAACUUCGGGAGAAGGGGUGCCUACCAUUUGGUAGGCCGCAGAGAAUAGGCACAAGCAACUGUUUAACAAAAACACAGGUCUCUGCUAAAGCGUAAGCUGAUGUAUAGGGGCUGACGCCUGCCCGGUGCUGGAAGGUUAAGGGGAACACUUAGCGCAAGCGAAGGUGUGAACUUAAGCCCCAGUAAACGGCGGCCGUAACUAUAACGGUCCUAAGGUAGCGAAAUUCCUUGUCAGGUAAGUUCUGACCCGCACGAAUGGCGUAAUGACUUGUGCACUGUCUCAACUGUGAAUCCGGCGAAGUUGUAGUGCGAGUGAAGAUGCUCGCUACCCGCGAUUGGACGGAAAGACCCCGUAGAGCUUUACUGUAGCUUAGCAUUGAAUUUCGGUAUUGUCUGUACAGGAUAGGUGGGAGACUGGGAAAUUAGGGCGUCAGCCUUAAUGGAGUCGUUGUUGGGAUACCACCCUGAUAGUAUUGAAGUUCUAACUGGAUGCCAUGAAACUGGUGACAGGACAUUGUUAGGUGGGCAGUUUGACUGGGGCGGUCGC